rnacentral:rRNA from 1 species
UACGUAGGGGCAAGCGUUGUCCGGAUUUAUUGGGCGUAAAGAGCGUGUAGGCGGUUAGGUAGGUCCGUUGUGAAAACUCGAGGCUCAACCUCGAGACGCCGAUGGAAACCAUCUGACUAGAGUCCGGAAGAGGAGAGUGGAAUUCCUGGUGUAGCGGUGAAAUGCGCAGAUAUCAGGAAGAACACCCGUGGCUAAGGCGGCUCUCUAGUACGGUACUGGACGCUGAGACGCGAAAGCGUGGGGAGCGAACAGG